CUGUGAGGGUUGCUGGAGGUAUCAGAAGUGCGAAUGCUGACAUAAGUAACGAUAAAGCGGGUGAAAAGCCCGCUCGCCGGAAGACCAAGGGUUCCUGUCCAACGUUAAUCGGGGCAGGGUGAGUCGACCCCUAAGGCGAGGCCGAAAGGCGUAGUCGAUGGGAAACAGGUUAAUAUUCCUGUACUUGGUGUUACUGCGAAGGGGGGACGGAGAAGGCUAUGUUAGCCGGGCGACGGUUGUCCCGGUUUAAGCAUGUAGGCU
rnacentral:rRNA from 1 species